CGGUCAACAGAGGGAUGCAAAACCGCGAGGUGGAGCGAACCCCUAAAAGCCGUCCCAGUUCAGAUCGCAGUCUGCAACCCGACUGCGUGAAGUCGGAAUCGCUAGUAAUCGCGGAUCAGCAUGCCGCGGUGAAUACGUUCCCGGGCCUUGUACACACCGCCCGUCACACCAUGAGAGUCGGGAACACCCGAAGUCCGUAGCCUAACCGCAAGGGGGGCGCGGCCGAAGGUGGGUUCGAUAAUUGGGGUGAAGUCGUAACAAGGUAGC
rnacentral:rRNA from 1 species